rnacentral:rRNA from 1 species
UACGAAGGGGGGCUAGCGUUGCUCGGAAUCACUGGGCGUAAAGCGCACGUAGGCGGAUUGUUAAGUCAGGGGUGAAAUCCUGGAGCUCAACUCCAGAACUGCCUUUGAUACUGGCGAUCUCGAGUCCGGGAGAGGUGAGUGGAACUGCGAGUGUAGAGGUGAAAUUCGUAGAUAUUCGCAAGAACACCAGUGGCGAAGGCGGCUCACUGGUCCGGUACUGACGCUGAGGUGCGAAAGCGUGGGGAGCAAACAGGG